UACAGAGGUCCCGAGCGUUGUUCGGAUUCACUGGGCGUAAAGGGUGCGUAGGUGGCGAGGUAAGUCGGAUGUGAAAUCUCCAAGCUUAACUUGGAAAUGGCAUUGGAAACUACCUGGCUAGAGGUUUGGAGGGGGGACUGGAAUGCUUGGUGUAGCAGUGAAAUGCGUAGAUAUCAAGCGGAACACCAGUGGCGAAGGCGGCUCACUGGCCCGGUACUGACGCUGAGGCACGAAAGCGUGGGGAGCAAACAGG
rnacentral:rRNA from 1 species